GCGUAUGGUGGUGGCAGGCCGCAAAACGGCCUGAGGAGGCGACCUUGGCUGGCCGCCGGGAGGCAGCGGCAGGAUCACCUGGCCUGGCGAGGCCAGGCUGUCCCAGGCAGAGAUACAGCUGAUGAACCAGCCAAAGCCAGUAACAGGUGCUCCUGGCCACCAGUCACCUGGCUCAUGUAGAUAGCUGAGAUGCUGUCAGGACUCACCUGUGCCUGGAAUCUGAAACACAGGAGGCCUUGGAGAAGGAAGAGGAGAGGAGAGGAGGAGGAGAACAACUCUACUGCUGGCUCCAGCACAGACUAUCUUUGCGAUCCAAAAAUUUCGGUGAAGAUGUAAUGUUUUUUGUUAUGGGAAGUCAGGAUGCUGAAGCAAGAGUUGCUUAUAUCUGAGGGAAAAGGCUGGUUGCCCCAAGUGGAGUGAACAGAGUGAACUCAAGUCAAGGAUGAAUUCCUCAUCUUCAUGACGCUGAUCGCUGAAUCACGUGCACAUACGGUGGUAUAUUAUUCAUGCAGAGCUGAAUAACCUGCCCCCGCCCCCAGUUUUCAGAUGCUCUGACCAGAUUAGCAGUGGACAUACCUGUCAGCAUUUCAAGUAUGAAAAGAGGUCACUUUAGGCUCCUCCCCUUGACCUAAAACUCCCCCACCCCUGCAAGUCAAGCAAAUCAAACUAGGUCAGAUAUUCUAAUAUUAGCAUUCAUCACAUUCCUAGAGUUAUGCUGAAAGCAAAAACAUUAAUGUUCUUCAAACUGCCAUAUUAAUGUAUUUUAUAAAAGAAUGGAUGCCU